GUGUCAGCAGCCGCGGUAAGACGAAGGAUCCAAGCGUUAUCCGGAUUUAUUGGGUUUAAAGGGUGCGUAGGCGGAUUGAUAAGUCAGUGGUGAAAGCCUGCAGCUUAACUGCAGAACUGCCAUUGAUACUGUCAAUCUUGAAUAUGUUUGAUGUGGGCGGAAUAUGACAUGUAGCGGUGAAAUGCUUAGAUAUGUCAUAGAACACCGAUUGCGAAGGCAGCUCACAAAGCCAUUAUUGACGCUGAGGCACGAAAGCGUGGGGAUCAAACAGGAUUAGAAACCCCAGUAGUCC
rnacentral:rRNA from 1 species